GGGGGGAAAAUUAAUAAUAAAUUUGUAAUAAAAAAAUUUUUAAAAUAUAUUUUAAUGGGGGUUAAAGUAUAUAUAUAGAAAUAAUUUUUAAAUUUAUAGUAAAAUAGUAUUAUAAAAGAAUUUAUAAAUAGGGGAAAAUAAUUUAUUAAAAAGUAAAUUUAGUUUAUUGUAUCUUGUGUAUCAGAGUUUAUUAAUAAUAAUUAUUAAUUAAUAAUUUCUCGAAUUUAAAAGAGUUAAUUAAUUAUAAAAGUUAAUGUAGUAUAAUUAUUUUUAAUAAUUAAUUGGAAAUGAAAUGUUAAUCGUUUUUAAAAAUAUCUAGUUUUUUUAGAAAAAAAUUUAAUUUUAAAUAUUAUAUUUAAAAUUUUUAUUUGUGAAAAUUUUAUUAAUUAAUAUUAAAUAUUUUAAGGGAUAAGCUUUAAAAUAAAUUUUUAUAAUAAAUUAUUUAAUUAAAUUAAAAUUAUAAAAUUUAAAUUGUUAUAUAAAUUAUAAUUUUUUAUAAAUAAUUUAAUUUAAAUUAAAAUUUAAGUGAGAAAAAUUUAAAUUUUUAUAAAAAAAUAUAUUUUAAUAAAAUAAAAUUAGAUAUAAUGAUAAAAUUAGUAUAUAAUUUUUUUUUUAGGAAAAUAAUUAUAAAAAGUUAAUUAAAGGAAUUCGGCAAAUUUUAUAUUCACUUGUUUAUCAAAAACAUGUCUUUUUGAAGAUAAUUUAAAGUCUAAUCUGCCCACUGAUAAAAUUAUUAAAGGGCUGCAGUAUUUUGACUGUACAAAGGUAGCAUAAUCAAUAGUCUCUUAAUUGGUGACUUGUAUGAAAGAUUGGAUGAAAUAUAUACUGUCUCUAAUUAAUUUAUAGAAAUUAAUUUUUUAGUAAAAAAGCUAAAAUAAUUUUAAAAGACGAGAAGACCCUAUAGAGUUUAAUAAUUUAUUUAAUUAUAUUUAUUAUAUAAUUUUUAAAAUUAAAAUUAAAUGAAUUAUUUUGUUGGGGUGAUAGAAAAAUUAAAUUAACUUUUUUUAAUUGUUAACAUUAAUUUAUGAUUAAAUGAUCCAUUAAUAAUGAUUAAAAGAAAAAAUUACCUUAGGGAUAACAGCGUAAUUUUUUUUUUUAGUUCAAAUAGGAAAAAAAGUUUGCGACCUCGAUGUUGGAUUAAGAUAAAAUUUAAAUGCAAAAGUUUAAAAUUUUGAUCUGUUCGAUCAUUAAAAUCUUACAUGAUCUGAGUUCAAACCGGUGUAAGCCAGGUUGGUUUCUAUCUUUAAAUAAUUAUAAUAUCUUAGUACGAAAGGAUUAGAUAUUAAAAAUAAUUUUAAUUAGAUGAAUAUUAUUAAUAGUUAAUAAUA
rnacentral:rRNA from 1 species